rnacentral:rRNA from 1 species
CGGUGAAUACGUUCCCGGACCUUGCACACACCGCCCGUCAAGCCAUGGAAGCCGGGUGUACCUAAAGUCGAUAACCGCAAGGAGUCGCCUAGGGUAAAACUGGUGACCGGGGCU